rnacentral:rRNA from 1 species
AGAGUUUGAUCCUGGCUCAGGGUGAACGCUGGCGGCGUGCUUAACACAUGCAAGUCGCGCGGGGAAACCCCUUCGGGGGGAGUACCAGCGGCGCACGUGUGAGUAACACGUGGGUAACCUACCCCUCAGUGGGGGAUAACCGGGGGAAACUCCGGCUAAUACCCCAUAUUAUCCGGUGACGACAGUUGCUGGAUGAAAGGAGUGUUUGCUUCGCUGAGGGAUGGGCCCGCGGCCCAUCAGGUAGUUGGUGAGGUAAUGUCUCACCAAGCCUAAGACGGGUAGCCGACNUGAGAGGGUGACCGACCACAAGGGCAAUGAGACACGGCCCCUACUCAUACGGGAGGCAGCACUGGGGAAUUUUGGACAUGGCCGAAAGCCUGAUCCACAGACGCCGCGUGAGGGACGAAGCCCUUCGGGGUGUAAACCUCUGUUGUGAGGGACGAAUAAGAUAUGGAGGAAAUGCCAGAUAGAUGACGGUACCUCACGAGAAAGCCCCGGC